rnacentral:lncRNA from 1 species
UAGAUACAGAUAUGUGUAUGUAUACAUAUCUGCAUAUGUAUGUAUGUAUAAGUAUACAGAGUUAUACAUUCAUAUAUAUGUAUAGAUGUAUGAAUAUUAUAUAUACAAAUAUACAUACGUGCAUACAUACAUACAUGCAUGUAUGCAUGCAUGCUUGCAUACAUACAAAACAUAAAUACUCACGCAUCCUUACAUAUACACUCACAUAUACAUACACAUAUGUAUGUAUAUAUAUAUAUAUAUAUAUAUAUACGGCCAUGUGUAUAAAUGUGUGCAUUAAUCCAUAUACAUAUAUAUGUGUGUGUGUGUGUGUACAUAUAUAUGUGUGUGUGUGUGUGUAUAAAUAUAUAUGUAUGUAUGUUUGUAUGUAUAAAUAGAUAUGUAUAAAUAUAUAUAUAUAUAUAUAUAUUUAAUAUGUAUACAUACAUACAUAGAUGCAUAUAUUACACACUUACAUGCAUACACACACACACAUAUCUAAUACACACAGCAUACCAUAACCACCGACGCCAUUAAACACAUGGUCACUUACACACACACACACACACACAUACACUUAUACACAUACACAUACACACAUUUAUACACACUCACUACACACACUUAUACACUUAUACACACACUUGUACACUUGUACACACUAUACACACUUAUACACACUCACCAACAUGCUCUCAUUCACACACAAACAACCAUCCACACACAUACCCACACACACACACUCACACACAUCUAAUAAACAGAGAUACUCACACACACACACACACAUACACAGACACACACACACACACUUAUACACACACACACACACUUAUACACUUAUACACACUACACACACUUAUACACACUCACCAACAUGCUCUCAUUCACACACACACAACCAUACACACACACACACACACACACACACACACAUCACAUCUAAUACACAGAGAUACUCACACACACACACACACACACACUUAUACACACUCACCAACAUGCUCUCAUUCACACACACAUCACACACAUACCACCCCCACACAUACCCACACACACACACACACACACACACAUCUGAUACACAGAGACACUCACACUCACACACACGCACGCGCACACAUUCGUAUGUAUUGACUGAUGCAAUGAAGCAUGACGCUAAAUUAUGCAAAUAUUCAUAGGAGUCCGUCACCGUGUCAUUGUGAUGCCUUCUCUCUCUCUCUCUCUCUCCUCUCCUCACGUGAUUCUCCACGCAAUUAACUGCAUACAUAUGCAAGGCGCAUACUAAUAUGUAUGUGUACGUUUCGCCUCUGUCUGUGUGUGUGUGUGUGUGUUUGUAAAUGAAUGUGUGUGCGUGAGUAUAUGUGUUUAUAUGUGUUUGUAUGUGUGCAAACAUAAAUACGAGUAUAUAGGUAUAUAUAGGACAGUUAGAUAGAGUGAGAGGGAGAUAUAUAUAUAUAUAUAUAUAUAUAUAUAUAUAGAUAGAGAGAGAGAGAGAGAGAGAGAGAGAGAGAGAUAGAUAGAUAGACAGACAGACAUAUAGAUAGAUAGAGAGAGAGACGGAGAGACAGAGAGACAGAGAGAGAUGGAAAGAUAUAUAUAUAUAUAUAUAUAUAUAUAUAUAUAUAUAUAUAUAUAUAUAUAUAUAUAUAUAUAUAUAGAUAGAUAGAUAGAUAGAUAGAUAGAUAGAUAGAUAGAUAGAUAGAUAGAUAGAUAGAUAGAUAGAUAGAUAGGUGAUACAUAGAUAUUUUUAAGUUUAAAUAUAUACGUAUGUAUGCUUGUAUAUUGAUUGUGUGCGUAUAUAUGUGUAUAUGUGUGUGUAUGAGUGUAUAUCAUAUAUAUAUACGUAUAUGUGAAUAUAUAUAUAUUAUAUAUAUAUAUAUAUCAUAUAUUAUAUAUAUACAUUUAUUUAUAUAUAUACAUACAUAUAGACACAUAUAGACACACAUAUAUACACUCAGAUACAAACAUACACACACACAGAAAUGCGCGCGAGCGUAUGUGGCUUUCAUUAAUAUCUUUACAGUGUUCGUCAAUGGCGCGUUUAACAUGUAGACACCGAAUUCACAAUUAAGUAGGCACAAAUAUCUAUUUAUUUCCCCCACUUCUACGGACUUCUCCACAUUAAACAGACACAUAAUUACACAGACAAUCUAUAUAGACAUUGCCCAUACACAUAUUCAGUUAAACCGAGACACACAUUAUCAAAUUGGCGCUGUUUAACGAUGUUAAAAUGUAUCUCUUCUAUAAAACUAGAACAGAAAAACGAAACCACUUCCCCUGUGAGUGUACGUACAUCGACAUUUUGUGUGUCUAUAGUCAAUACACUCUAUGCAUAGAUUCGUUGUUAUAUAUAUACACAUUAUAUUUUAAUAUGUGUCAUUUUGUCACUGUAUGUAGGCGCCCCACUACUAUAUAUAGAUUGUAGCACAAUUAUAGAUUACGUCACACACUAUAUAUAGACGUAUUAGUACAAUGUGUAGAUUACGUCACAACUGUAUGAGGCUUACAUCACAUGUGC